rnacentral:rRNA from 1 species
CAUACUGCCGUGAAUACGUUCCCGGGCCUUGUACACACCGCCCGUCACACCAUGAGAGUUGGAAUACCCGAAGCCUGUGAGCUAACUAUACGAGGCAGCAGUCGAAGGUAGAAUCAAUGAUUGGGGUGAAGUCGUAACAAGGUACC